GCGGGUUUAUGAUACGCUAGGAAACAGCAAGAAGCCUAUACACAUGCCCUCCGAAGGCAGAGGUCACAGGUUCGAAUCCUGUCGGGCGCGCCA
rnacentral:tRNA from 1 species